GAUGAACGCUGGCGGCGUGCCUAAUACAUGCAAGUCGAGCGAACAGACGAGGAGCUUGCUCCUCUGACGUUAGCGGCGGACGGGUGAGUAACACGUGGAUAACCUACCUAUAAGACUGGGAUAACUUCGGGAAACCGGAGCUAAUACCGGAUAAUAUCUUGAACCGCAUGGUUCAAUAGUGAAAGACGGUUUUGCUGUCACUUAUAGAUUGAUCCGCGCCGCAUUAGCUAGUUGGUAAGGUAACGGCUUACCAAGGCAACGAUGCGUAGCCGACCUGAGAGGGUGAUCGGCCACACUGGAACUGAGACACGGUCCAGACUCCUACGGGAGGCAGCAGUAGGGAAUCUUCCGCAAUGGGCGAAAGCCUGACGGAGCAACGCCGCGUGAGUGAUGAAGGUCUUCGGAUCGUAAAACUCUGUUAUUAGGGAAGAACAAAUGUGUAAGUAACUAUGCACGUCUUGACGGUACCUAAUCAGAAAGCCACGGCUAACUACGUG
rnacentral:rRNA from 1 species